GAUGAACGCUGGCGGCGUGCCUAAUACAUGCAAGUCGAGCGAACAGACGCUGAGCUUGUGCCGCUGACGUUAGCGGCGGACGGGUGAGUAACACGUGGAUAAUCUACUUAUAUUAGUGGUAUAAUUUGGGGAAUGCGGAGAUAAUACGGGAGAAUCUACUGAACCGUGGGGGGGAAUGGAGAAUGACGGCUUUGGGGGCUGGUCUCGAUGGAUCCGCGCCGCAUUGGAUAGUUGGUAAGGUAACGGCUUUCCAAGGCGAGGAUGCGUAGCCGAGCGGAGAGGGUGAUCGGCGACAUGGGAACUGGAACAGCGUCCAGACUCCUACGGGAGGCAGCAGUCGGCAAUGUUCCGCAGUAGGCGGAAGCAUGACGCAGCAACGCCGCGUGAGAGAUAGAGGCGUUCGGUGCGUAAAGCUCUGUUACUAGGUAAAAACAAAUGUCGCAGUAGAUGAGCACGUCUUGACGGUAACUAGUCAAGAAGCAACGGCUAACUACGUG
rnacentral:rRNA from 1 species